UCGCUCGUAUGUACUCGUACGUACUCCUAUGUACUCCUAUGUACUCCUAUGUACUCGUGUGGUGUUUUAGUCACGAUCAACCCUUAGCAACUUGUAAUGCUGUAGUUGCACAUCAAUCUAACAAAGUUACAAAUUCAAACAACAACAAUUGCUUCCUAAAAACAAAUCACUGUCAUUUGAAGCCAGGUUCAUAAAGCCAUCUUUAUUGCUACAAACACUUUAUCUGACAUCAUUGAGAAAUGGCAAACUUGUGAUUCAAAUAUGGACAACUUUGUGUAAAGCUCAAGGUACCAAACACUUGCCUUUCAUAUCUGUGCAUACAAAGCGAAAAAAAGACUUUCUUAGGUGAACUUAUUUGAAUUGCACUUUGUUUUAAUACUGAUGUGUGCUACAUGUUUUGCUUAAACAUUUUUAACAACUUACAUGACGUUUCAAGUGCAA